rnacentral:lncRNA from 1 species
GUGGAUCGCCACUGCGCCCGCUCUCGCGUUUCCUGUGCCAGGGCGUCUGGAUCAUUAGGGGCGCGUUGUCCUGACUCCGCUCGGCCCCGUGUUUUCCUUGGGUCCUGUCGCAGCCGUCCAGGCUCCGCCUCACUCAUCCCAAGGGGUGGAGUUCGGGGCUGGAAUGGCGAGCGGCGCUUGGGUGCCAGGAGGCCACGUGGGGAAGCAAAGGCGCCUCCUUUCUCCCUCGACUUCCCUUUUUUCAUCGCACGCCUCGCACGCUUUUGCCCGGGCAGGUGACGCCGGGCACCCGCAGGAUAGAGCCAGGAGUCAACUUUUAACUCCACACCACAGUAGGAAGCAGCUAAACAGAAAAAAAAUGGGAUAAAGAAUGAAAUAUGGUCAUCACCAUACUCUAGAA